AUUUACCUCAGCUAAUGUAGUUCACAGAAACGAGUUGAUUUAGGGCCUUCGUGACAUGCACCUUUACUUUUGACUAGAUAACCUAUGUUUCAACAGCCGAAAUGUUUGAACUUGUCUUGAUACUUAAAUUUGUACAUACAUGCCAAAGAACCGGCACGUCAGUUUAGGUCACAAUAAAACGAACGUGAUAUGCAUGUGUAUGCACGUGAUAUGCAGGUGUUUACUGUGCAGCUUAAAAGGACUUAAAUAAAACAUUUAAUGCAGACGUCUGAAUUUGAUAAGCUACACUUGUUUUACUUAUUAACUGUUAGAUGGGGUAGUGUUUAGUGACAACAGCUGGUUACCUAUCUUACAUCAUUAGAAUGAAAUGCUAACUAGCUAACUAGGCUUAAUUUUAGUGCAUCAUCUAAUUUUGUUAAGUUGGCUGCGGACACAGAUGACAUCGGUUUAUGUAUUUGUGCUCUUAGGGGAAGCACAGUAAAGCUGAUUUCCUGUGUUUAAAACCACCAGCUGCCACUGCUCUCUUAAUACCCCUGGAGAAAAGGUAUUACCUUUGUGCCAUGUUGGAGAUACCAAGGACAGAACCCCACCAGUGUCACCUGUCUUCAGCUCUCCUGGUACUUAAUGUGGUCACCAUGGUGAUGAGGCAGACUAUCGGUCAGUGCCAUGGCACUGCCCAAGUGGUACAUGAUGUUCAGAGAUAUGUUCUGGCAAUGCUCACCUGGAAAGGAGUGGAUGAAAUGAGCGAAGAAGUGUGGAUGUGCAGCUGCUGUGUACAGAGCACUUGAUUGCCGUCUUUACACACCAACUGUGGAUGACUACAAGCAGAUCUGCACUUUGUCCACGCUGAAUUGUUUUGCAGAAGAGGUGAAAGUCCUGGACAUGGAGAUAGAGGAUAGAACUUUGCGAGUGGUCUUUGCUUUAAGGAAAAGACUGAAGAAACUGACACUUAAUAUCAAUGAAAAGUUGAAGAAUAAGACACAAAUACAGUGUCCACCUUGUGAGAUCCAUACUGAACAAGCUGCAGCCGUGUUCUUAGAGGCACUUAACUCUGUUUUGCAGUAUCAGUGUUCAGCUGAUCCCAUGGACACUUAAGGACUGUGUUUAUUGUUAUUCUGAUCUAUGCCUCAAAUGGAUUGCUCUCAAUAUAUUAUGAAGUCAACAUUGAUAGAGCUACCUUCUGUAAUGACUGCAUUGUAUUGAAAUAAGAGAAAUAUAGUUCAAUAUUAUUCUAACUUUAUGGUAUUUGUAUGUAUAAUACCCUUGCAAUACAGUUACAAUACCCUCUGACUGGAGCUAACACUAAACAUUUGUGUUCUUAGUUGUGAAACACCUUAAGGCAUGGCUCGUGACUAGCAGAUUAACUACUAACAGUUAAAUUGUACAUUAAAAUUCAAUUUGAUGGAA